rnacentral:rRNA from 1 species
UACAGAGGGUGCGAGCGUUAAUCGGAAUUACUGGGCGUAAAGCGUGCGUAGACGGUUAUUUAAGUCGGGUGUGAAAGCCCCGGGCUCAACCUGGGAAUGGCAUUGGAAACUGGCGGGCUGGAGUGUGGCAGAGGGGGGUGGAAUUCCGCGUGUAGCAGUGAAAUGCGUAGAGAUGCGGAGGAACACCGAUGGCGAAGGCAGCCCCCUGGGCUGACACUGACGCUCAGGCACGAAAGCGUGGGGAGCAAACAGG